rnacentral:rRNA from 1 species
UACGAAGGGGCUAGCGUUGUUCGGAAUUACUGGGCGUAAAGGGCGCGUAGGCGGUCCUGAUCGUCGGAUGUGAAAGGCCUGGGCUCAACCUGGGAACUGCAUCCGAUACGGCGGGACUGGAGUGUGGGAGAGGUUGGUGGAAUUCCCGAGUGUAGAGGUGAAAUUCGUAGAUAUUGGAAGAACACCGGUGGCGAAGGCGGCCAACUGGACCACAAC